rfam:Felis catus isolate Cinnamon breed Abyssinian chromosome B4, whole genome shotgun sequence.
GCCUGGGUGGCUCAGUCGGUUAAGCAUCUGACUUCGGCUCAGGUCAUGAUCUCGUGGUCUGCGAGUUCGAGCCCCGCGUCGGGCU